UACGUAGGGUGCAAGCGUUGUCCGGAAUUAUUGGGCGUAAAGAGCUCGUAGGCGGUUUGUCGCGUCGAAUGUGAAAACCCGGGGCUCAACCCCGGGCCUGCAUUCGAUACGGGCAGACUAGAGUUCGGUAGGGGAGUCUGGAAUUCCUGGUGUAGCGGUGAAAUGCGCAGAUAUCAGGAGGAACACCGGUGGCGAAGGCGGGACUCUGGGACGGUACUGACGCUGAGACGCGAAAGCGUGGGGAGCGAACAGG
rnacentral:rRNA from 1 species